rnacentral:rRNA from 1 species
AUUGAAGGCUGAAAUUCGCCUUCAUGAAGUCGGAAUUGCUAGUAAUGGCAGGUCAGCAUACUGCCGUGAAUACGUUCCCGGGCCUUGUACACACCGCCCGUCACACCAUGAGAGUUGGAGAUACCCGAAGCCUAUGAGCUUAACUUUUAGAGGCAGUAGUCGAAGGUAGAAUCAAUGAUUGGGGUGAAGUCGUAACAAGGUACC